GACGAACGCUGGCGGCGUGCUUAACACAUGCAAGUCGAACGGAAAGGCCCUGCUUUUGUGGGGUGCUCGAGUGGCGAACGGGUGGGUAACACGUGAGUAACCUGCCCUUGACUUUGGGAUAACUUCAGGAAACUGGGGCUAAUACCGGAUAGGAGCUCCUGCUGCAUGGUGGGGGUUGGAAAGUUUCGGCGGUUGGGGAUGGACUCGCGGCUUAUCAGCUUGUUGGUGGGGUAGUGGCUUACCAAGGCUUUGACGGGUAGCCGGCCUGAGAGGGUGACCGGCCACAUUGGGACUGAGAUACGGCCCAGACUCUUACGGGAGGCAGCAGUGGGGAAUAUUGCACAAUGGGCGGAAGCCUGAUGCAGCAACGCCGCGUGCGGGAUGACGGCCUUCGGGUUGUAAACCGCUUUCGCCUGUGACGAAGCGUGAGUGACGGUAAUGGGUAAAGAAGCACCGGCUAACUACGUG
rnacentral:rRNA from 1 species